AUAUUGUUCACAGAAUCCUGAGAUACUUGAAGGGGACUCCGGGUAAAGGGUUGUGGUUUGCGAAGAGUGGACAUCUUGAGGUGGAUGGCUAUAGUGACUCUGAUUGGGCUAGCUGUCAAGAUGAUAGACGAUCAACUUCAGGCUACUGUGUGUUUGUGGGAGGAAAUUUGGUGUCAUGGAGAAGCAAGAAACAGACUGUUGUGUCUAGAUCAACAGCAGAAGCUGAAUAUAGAGCAUUAUCUCAAGGGUUGUGUGAUAUGCUCUGGGUGAAGCACCUACUAUGCGAGUUGAAACUUUUGAGGAAGGGACCCUUAAGAGUGUGGUGUGACAAUCAGUCAGCUAUAGCCAUUGCUAAUAACCCAGUUCAACAUGAUAAGACGAAGCAUGUGGAAAUUGAUCGCUUCUUCAUUAAAGAGAAACUUGAUGCUGGGAUCAUCAGCCUUACUUAUGUCAGCUCUGGGCAGCAGUUUGCAGAUUGCUUGACAAAGGGACUGGGAACAAAGGACUGUAACUUGGCGUGUGACAAGAUGGGGAUGAUAGAUAUCUACCACCCAUCUUGAGGGGGAGUGUUGAACCGGUAUGGGCCCUAGCCCAUCUUGAUCUGUCUCUUGGGCCCAAGCCCAUGAGAGGUGCUGACCUAGAAGAGGAGCCCCUCUUCCCUUCCUCCUGUAUGUGCCGCCACAUCUAAGACACACACGACAAAGUCACGGACAGGGAGCUUAAUAUAUAUGAUAUCAGUUCAUUUGAUCCUGAGCUGGCCACAACCCUUAUGGAGUUGAAAGCACUUGUCAAAAGAGAUACUUAGAAUCAUCUUCAAGGGGGGAUACCAGAGCACAUCUGAUUUGUGUUAACGAGGUUGUAAAAUUGAGGAUCUUGCUAUUGACUUUGUUGUCCCAGUAUAUCCAGAAUAUGUGCUUUCUUCAGAGGGUACCUCAGAUAAUGUAACUGGCGAGAGUUUGGAAGAAUAUGUUUAUUUGUUGUCGACACUACGGUUAAAAGUGGAAUCUCAAGACAACUGGAGGCUUUUAAGUCAGGAUUCAGUCAGUAUGCUGUAUCAUGGUGCUGCUCUCGUCUUUUAUAGUACUUGGGUAACUUGGGACAGCUUUUCAGUUACACUAUCUGAAAGAAGCUUUAGAAUUAUGGCUAGGUUGGCCCCAGUUCACAAAAUGGGGAGCGUGAGUAGGAUGUAUUGUUACUUAGAAGCUAUCAGGGCUCCACAUUUUGUAGUUUAUACAAGUUCUACUCCCUUUGACAAAGUAUUAGGUUGCUUUUUCCUACUAGCAUUUUAUCUUUAGACGAACUUGGCAGUAAUGCUUUAAUUAGACAAUGCAAAAACCUUUCCUUAUUUUUUUAACCCUGUGUAUUUCUUAAACAAUCUUAAUCCAAUAUGUAUAAACUUAUACUUGUUUCUGAUAGUAAUGACUCCCUCUGUCCUUUUAUUACAUCUGUCCGUUCAGGUGUAUUUAGAUGUUAGGUUGCUUUCUGUACUUUGCUCUGUAACUCAUGAGCCUUACAUGGGCCCUAUAGGGUGACAUGCACUCGAUGUUCAUUGCUCAUUUAUAUAUUUCACUCUUCUCUGGUGUUGUCUCUUACUGCCCGCACAGUCGAAAAAUCAUUUUGUUGUUGUCCACUGACACUGGGUAUUGCAGGUAUUUUUACUAAGCACACUUCAGGUAUUCUCGGAGGAUGAGCUGGAGAGAUGACUCUGCGGAGAACAAGAUAAUUGGGAUUCCUGCAAUCAUUCUCUCUGAUGAUGACCUGCCGAGUGUGAUGAUUUGUGCUAACUAUCUCAAGUGACCUGCCUACUGCACCAAGGUAUCUUGUUGCAGUGUCGGCUUGACAAUUCUUCUCCAGGGGAUUCAUCAAAGGAGCAAGGAGAGCAGAGAUUAGGUUAGUAGGACUUAUCUUGAGGUGAAACUCUUAAAAGAACAGGGAGUUUGGUACUACUACUAUUGUUAACAUUUGAACGCAUUCCCUAAUAAAGGGAAAACAACCAGCUAAAAAUGUAUGCACAGGAAUUCAUGCGCUACUCCCUCCGUUUCUAAAUAUAAGUCCUUUUAGAGAUUUCAAUAUGGAUUACAUAUGGAUGUAUAUAGACAUA